UGCAGUUACAUAUCAUGGAUGAAGUUGCUGGUGCUGAUGCUCCCAAGUAUUAUAAUUACAGGCAGACAGGAACUUGACAACUGGAAAUAGAAAUGGCUUCAACUGAAUCUUGAGGUUGCUGCAGUUGGAUUUUGUUUCCCUGGUCUGUCCAGUUGCUGUGAUUAUCACUUGAAAUGGAUGAAAAUGAAUUUAUCUGAAUUACUAUUGAUAAUGGUCUUGUCUGUCCUGAGCCAAAGGUGAAGAUGCUGAAUAGCAUAAAAUGUCAAGGGAUUGGAGAAAAACAAAUGUGGCAGAAACCUCAGGAACUUGAAUACUGUGGAAGGAAUACUUCCGAUGAAUCCUCACACAAAUGAGACUGCUGGCCCAACUUCCAAGUUUGGACCUCUUUGGGGAUCUGAGAAGUGAAACAAAACACCAGUAUGCUAUUAAAGUGUACACAACAGAAUUUUAAUAAAGUGACAUUGUACAUUAA